rnacentral:rRNA from 2 species
UACGUAGGUGGCAAGCGUUGUCCGGAAUUACUGGGUGUAAAGGGCGUGUAGGCGGGAUGUUAAGUCAGAUGUGAAAUUCCAAAGCUCAACUUUGGCGCUGCAUCUGAAACUGAUGUUCUUGAGUGAUGGAGAGGAAAGCGGUAUUCCUAGUGUAGCGGUGAAAUGCGUAGAUAUUAGGAGGAACACCAGUGGCGAAGGCGGCUUUCUGGACAUUAACUGACGCUGAGGCGCGAAAGCGUGGGGAGCAAACAGG